CCUUUGAGCUGUUUUAAAGCGUUGCGGUUUCGGCCCGUGGAGAAUAGAUAUUUUAUUUAUAAAGGUUAAA
rnacentral:tRNA from 1 species